CUUAGCAUAUCAAACAAAGAUGCAAUCAAUGCCCCUUUCUCUUUGAAUUCUAGCAUAUCCAAUAAAGAUGCAAUCAAUACCUUUUCUCAUAAUGUCUUUCGUUUAGGAUUUUGGAGGCGACAAUGAUAGCUCGGGGUUUCUUUGAUUAAGGUAAACCCACUCUUAACCUUCAGUUCAUCUCGUCUUCCUCCCUUUAUCCUAGAUUCGGUUGGAUUUGAUUUUGUAACAAGAGCGAUGAUUCUCUCUUAGCAGUCGAAAAUCCGAGGGCGAUGAAGGCCAGAAUCCGUCGCUGGCCAUGGAUUUUCCUCCGAUCUACUCUCUCAGCAUUUGACUGAAGAAUACGGAUGGUGAGUCGCUCAACUCUCCCUAAUCUUAAUCAUCUCUCGCUCGAAUGCUUAGAGGUUGGAUGAUGAUAUUAGUAAUGAUGCUUACUAGCCUCUGUACAGCAGCCUCCACUGCCCUUAUGUGGGUCUCCCGAUUCACAGUCGUCACCCUCUUUCUCCUGGAACCCUCAUCUGCGAAUUUCAUAGUCGCCGUUCCAUCCCAAAUUCAAUACUAAAUCGAAGAUCCCAGCUCUUGAUUGCCUUCGCCUCUCGACUCCAUCACAGUUGCAUCGGGACGCGAUCAUGCAUAGAUCGAUUCCCUCAUUUUAAGGUAAGCUCGGUUUCCCCCUCUGCUUGCAAUGAUUCUAAUUUGAACUAUGAUCUUUCUAACGAUCCUCGCCUCUUCUUUCCCAGUUCAGUUCGAUGUGGAAAUUCCGCCGGUAUCUUGGAGGGUCAAAGGCUUUACCAGCGACGCCAUGUCAGGUCUGAACUUGUACUCUCGUCAGUUUUUUUUAUUUAGAUUAAUCUUCUCUUUGAAGGAUUUUACGGUUAUUUCCCCAGGUGUGUAAAGAACACAGCGGGUUUGCUGUUCUAGUUGAUCAAGCGAUGUGUGCGGUUCUCAGUGAUCCUGAAAAAGAACAAGGUAAUGUAUUCUACGCUCUUCCUCUCCUCUCGAUUCCUAUCCCGAUGUAUCUAUGUAUCUCUGUUAUGAAUCCCUUCCUACCUUCUAAUUUUUCAAUAGGCUAUUCGAAGUGAAGAAGGCUGGUUAUGGACCAGAGGGAGCACGAGGAAUGGAGGACAACAAAACUUGAUGUCUGAGGGCUCCAUGAAAGUGAGGAAGGGGGGUCGAGAUUUAACUAGGGGGCGAAACUAGAAGGGCGGCCAGACAAGGUCAACAACACAGAGGUAAUACUCAAAAUUAUAAGCUCGGAUAGACAUGUGAUCGAGUAUUGCUUGUCCUUCUCAGCAACAAAGACUCGUGUGUAUUUUAUCGAGAUAAAAUUGGUCUACUUAGUCUUGAUUGGAAUGUCGAUUUGGCUGUUCAGGACAGGAGCAACUAAAGUGUGUUUGCAUCCAUGUUUUUUUCAUGGAAUAAAUAUACUAUCCUAUCUCAUUAAAGAAUCUAUGAUUACCAUGAUUCAUGUAUGCAGGCUAGGACUCGUAAAACCAAUGUUAUUCAAUUGGGCAUUCAUGAGUUGGCAUUAACCCAUCAUAUGUAUUUGCCAAACAAUCUGAAUUGCAUGUUUUGAUAUGACCAUCGUGGUGAAGAGCGAAGCUGGACCAAGAGAAGAUGAAGGACCAGGAUCGAGAACCUAGAAUCAUCAUGAAAGACCAACACAAAAAGAAGAAACAUAGAAAAUAGUACACAAUAAUAGUCAAAGGGAGUCCACAAUUUCCAAACAAGCAUCCAAAAUAACAAACAUCCACAAACUGUCAUAAAACACAACACAACACAAGUCUAGUCACACAAAAGAAACACAAACAAACCAUCAAGUCUAAAAAAAAGAGAGAGAGACAAAGGAACAUCACUCGAACAAUGGUGGAGGUGGUGGUGGCUGCUAGGAUGGGAAAUGGGGAUAAUACCCAUAGUAGCUUACCUCCGCGCUCAGAUGGUGGUAAUACCAUUGAUGUCCAUCUCUCGAAUCUUGGAAGUGGUCUUGUGGUGGGGGAGAGUAGUCGGGAUAGUGUUGAGGAAGUAAGAGUACACGUUCUGAUAUUUGGCCAUGUGGCCAGUCUGCCAACCCUACUUCUGUUGGAUCCAGUGCAUCUCCAUCUAUACUAUCUGAAUCUACUCCCCAACCCUCUAGAAAUUGCUACUCGUCUCACCUCUAAAGGCAUCAAAGUCGCUUCAUAACCCACUCAUAUCCUGUCUGAUGUACCCCAACUGCUCAUCAUGUGACUUCCUGAACUACUUAUCUCUCUGUGCCUCAUACUGAGCUCUCUCAUCAGAACACUAUUGAUGGAUAGCAAGAUGCUCCAUGACAGCCUGCAGAUCGGACAAAUACCCGAGCUGAAGUUGCGGUGUCGAUCUCCUUAACAAGCAAGUCCUGAACUCCAUUCCUUAGUAAUUAAUCCGGGUAGAAGUCAUAAGGUGGAGUCUCGAAGAUGCCCAACACUCCAUAAUUACGGACUGACAAGCUAACAUACCCUCCUUUGUAUAGUACGACAUGCAUUGAGUAGCUCUUCAAUUGCUUGAAGAGAGUGAGAACCAAGUCUCCCAAAUGCAUAUCGAUCUUAUCCUAGCAAUAGAAGAUGUACAUGUCUCGGUUAGUGAGCGCACUUGGAGAGCUUGAAGACGAACGGUGCGAGAUACCGUGGCGAGCAAACAGAUGGAUGAGACGAAGCAUUGGCUUGUGGGUUCGCAGCGCCUUAAAGACCCCAACUACAAACUGAGGCGCGUCUUUGAUAAUGCUACACCAAAAACCCUGCACAUCAUAGAGGGGGAGUCCGGAAACCAUGGCAAGACAAGCCAGCUUACCAUUGUUCAGCUCCUCAUUUGAAUGGAACCUGAGCAUUACCCCAAACUCAUGUGGGAACACUGUGUACAGCCUCCCUCCCAAGCGGAAGGAGACCACCCUCUGAGAGGUGGAAGUGUAUCUCCCGAUGUCAAGUGUGUAGAAGAACUCACGAACCGCGCGAGGAUAUGAAUACUCCUUCACCAUCAUCGCCCUCCAAAUAUUCUUGGUCCUCUUGUAAUAGGAAUGAAAGGGGAACAAGCCUGCUAGUUAACUCCUCAAAAACUAAGUGCCCCUGUUUGGAAACAGAAAGGUGUUGGAGAGUCGCAUAGAGCUUCCAAGACAUAAAGCAUCAAUCGCGAGGUUUUACGGAUCGACGGGCUCAGUAGGAGCUUCAAACAUGUGGUACUGCUGAGGUGGAACUGCAGGUGAGGAAGUACCUUGAGUCGUUUGCCCUGAGGAAGAAGAAUUCUCAUUUCCACUAUGCCUCUUGUUACACUUGGUAGACUUACCUUUAGGAGACAUCCUGAAAAAUAGUCAGCAAAUGUAGACUGCAAAUUGGGAAACAGGAUUCGGGAUUUCCCGUUUCCGUUCCCGUAUUAUUGAAAAAAAACUCGGGAAUUCCCAUUCCCAUUACCAAACUCAAAAUUCGGGUUUGGUUGGGGAAUAAAAUUUCAUGUUCGGUUUUUUGGUUCGAUUCUGGGAUUCCCAAAAUCCCAAAGUUUCUUAUUAUUUUCUAUUAUCGACAAAAGAAAAAACAUCGUAUAAGAAAUGAUUGAUUCAUACGUUAGGGCAUAGCUCAUUUUCGCUUCAAGACUGAAAUUACGGUUCGUGAAACCGAGAGGCCGAGAGUCCCCAUGUCCCUCAAUGGUGAUUCCCGAUGAUUCCCUCGACGGUUCAACCCCUCCUCUCUAGGGUGGCGAUUCCCAGUCUAGACGUCGGAUUCUUCUUCUUUUGCUACGAUGAUUCCCAACGAUUCCCUCAUUGUUCUGGAAUCUGAUUUAAGGUGAGAACACAUCUCCAACCCACUAUGGGUUUUAUUGUGAGGUUUUGAUUGUUUCUUAUUUCUUUGCGUAACAGUGGUCAUCGUCGAUUUGUACAGGUGCGGCUGUUGAUUCUGCGAACACACCUCUACUACUUUCGUCGGUGAACAACAUUCAAUUGAGGUGUGAAUAAUGAUUGAUUUAUGCUCCACUUUGGUUUUUGAUUAACUCUACAAUAGCUUUCUAUCUGCUAUCUCAAUUGUAAAAUCCUGCCAAAAGACAUUACAUUACAAGGAUGGCUUGUAAAAUCUAAGAAUAUAUGCUAAUGGCUUCAGUUAAAAUCAGGGUGAGUAUUGAGCUUGCUUCACUACUGUCUAUUGAAUACUCAGAACUGAAUUUUGGUCUUUCUUCAUCCCACUUAACUAUCUCCCUCGCAUAUUUAAGAGAUGAGUUGAUAGUGUCAGAUGCUAUAGAUUAUAUUGAUCCUGGGCCUAGUCGAAUAUGAUAAAGAUGAAGAGGGUGAAAAUGAAUAUGUUGAUUCUGUAAGUAUUCUUAAAUUUAUUUAUAGUUAGUAGAAUGGAAUAGUGCUCGAUAUUGUGACUGUGACUGAAUUCUGGCUGUUUGUUUUUCAAUUCUAUUUCUUGGUAUUGCAAUGGUUUUGCAUCACUCAUUUAAGAUAUAUGAGACUGUUGCAGUUUAUAGUUUCAAAACACAUGCUACUCACUGUGUUUCAGUUAACAAUGGAACUCGGUAAGCUCAAAUUCGGUCUCAGUUUUAAAUUUUUAGCAUACUCAUAUUUCUUUUGGCCAUUUAAUUUAAAAAAUUCUCUCGAUGGUGUUUGAUGGAGCUCAUUUCUAGUAUUUUUGUUACAGAGUCUGGAUGGUAUUUGAUGGAGCUUAUUUCUAGAUUUUUUGUUGUAGAGUCUGGAUGGUGUGUAAUGGAGCUCAUGAGCUGUAGUAGUUUUAAUGGAGUGUGGGGUUUGUAGUUUCAAAUGUUGGGUAUUCAAAAUGUUGCGGUUUGAUUCAAUAAGUUAUUUUGUUUGUAUGAAUUGUCAUGGGCUGUAACCAUGUUGCGCUUUACAAUGAUUUAGGACUUGUCGCAAUGAAAUAAAAAUUUCGGGAAAAAAACUUAAUUUGGGACUCCAAAUCUUGAAUUUAAUUUCUUGAACAAAAUUUCGUAAAUUUGGGAUUCGGGAAUUUGGAAUUUCAAGACUUCAUAAAUUCAGGAACGGGGUCCCAUUCCCUUCCCGAUUUACAAGCCUAAGCAAAUGU
rnacentral:lncRNA from 1 species